GCUGGCGGCGUGCCUAAUACAUGCAAGUCGAGCGAACAGACGAGGAGCUUGCUCCUCUGACGUUAGCGGCGGACGGGUGAGUAACACGUAGAUAACCUACCUAUAAGACUGGGAUAACUUCGGGAAACCGGAGCUAAUACCGGAUAAUAUAUUGAACCGCAUGGUUCAAUAGUGAAAGACGGUUUUGCUGUCACUUAUAGAUGGAUCCGCGCCGCAUUAGCUAGUUGGUAAGGUAACGGCUUACCAAGGCAACGAUGCGUAGCCGACCUGAGAGGGUGAUCGGCCACACUGGAACUGAGACACGGUCCAGACUCCUACGGGAGGCAGCAGUAGGGAAUCUUCCGCAAUGGGCGAAAGCCUGACGGAGCAACGCCGCGUGAGUGAUGAAGGUCUUCGGAUCGUAAAACUCUGUUAUUAGGGAAGAACAAAUGUGUAAGUAACUAUGCACGUCUUGACGGUACCUAAUCAGAAAGCCACGGCUAACUACGUGCCAGCAGCCGCGGUAAUACGUAGGUGGCAAGCGUUAUCCGGAAUUAUUGGGCGUAAAGCGCGCGUAGGCGGUUUUUUAAGUCUGAUGUGAAAGCCCACGGCUCAACCGUGGAGGGUCAUUGGAAGCUGGAAAACUUGAGUGCAGAAGAGGAAAGUGGAAUUCCAUGUGUAGCGGUGAAAUGCGCAGAGAUAUGGGGGACACCAGUGGCGAAGGCGACUUUCUGGUCUGUA
rnacentral:rRNA from 1 species